rnacentral:rRNA from 1 species
GAUGAACGCUGGCGGCGUGCCUAAUACAUGCAAGUCGAGCGAACGGACGAGAAGCUUGCUUCUCUGAUGUUAGCGGCGGACGGGUGAGUAACACGUGGAUAACCUACCUAUAAGACUGGGAUAACUUCGGGAAACCGGAGCUACUACCGGAUAAUAUUUUCAACCGCAUGGUUCAAAAGUGAAAGACGGUCUUGCUGUCACUUAUAGAUGGAUCCGCGCUGCAUUAGCUAGUUGGUAAGGUAACGGCUUACCAAGGCAACGAUGCAUAGCCGACCUGAGAGGGUGAUCGGCCACACUGGAACUGAGACACGGUCCAGACUCCUACGGGAGGCAGCAGUAGGGAAUCUUCCGGAAUGGGCGAAAGCCUGACGGAGCAACGCCGCGAGAGUGAUGAAGGUCUUCGGAUCGUAAAACUCUGUUAUGAGGGAAGAACAUAUGUGUAAGUAACUGUGCACAUCUUGACGGUACCUACUCAGAAAGCCACGGCUAACUACGU